AUGAACUGGGUGAGACAGGCUCCUGGAAAAGGACUGGAUUGGGUAGCGUACAUAAGAUAUGAUGCCAGUACUAUUUACUACUCAGACAAAGUCAAGGGCCGCUUCACCAUCUCCCGGGACAAUGCCAAAAGCCAGCUCUAUCUGCAAAUGAACAGCCUCAAAACUGAGGACACAGGAGUCUAUUACUGUGCAAGAUACACAAUUGGAAAGUUCACUGACACAACUUUCAUUUUAGGUGCCAAAUCUCAGGUCCAAUUGGUGGAGUCUGGAGGGGAUGUGAGAAGACCUGGGGAGUCCCUCCGUCUCUCCUGCCAAGCCUCUGGAUACAGUUUUGAUGGCUACAGCAUGGUCUGGGUGAGACAGGCUCCUGGAAAAGGACUGGAUUGGGUAGCCUACAUAAGAUAUGAUGCCGGUGCUACUUCCUACUCAGACAAAGUCAAGGGCCGCUUCACCAUCUCCAGGGUCAAUGCCAAAAGGCAGCUAUAUCUGCAAAUGAACAGCCUCAAAACCGAAGACACAGGAGUCUAUUACUGUGCAAGAUACACAGUGAGAGGAAGUGAAUCUGAUGCUAAGCAAAAACCUUCUCCUCCUUUGAGCAGCUUUCCAAAAUAA